rnacentral:rRNA from 1 species
UACAGAGGUCUCGAGCGUUAGGCGGAAUCACUGGGCGUAAAGGGUGCGUAGGCGGGUCUUUAAGUCAGGGGUGAAAUCCUGGAGCUCAACUCCAGAACUGCCUUUGAUACUGAAGAUCUUGAGUUCGGGAGAGGUGAGUGGAACUGCGAGUGUAGAGGUGAAAUUCGUAGAUAUUCGCAAGAACACCAGUGGCGAAGGCGGCUCACUGGCCCGAUACUGACGCUGAUGCGCGAAAGCCAGGGGAGCGAACGGG